AACUGAGAAAUUCCCCAAUUCCUAGUCUUCCUCCUCCCACCUCCUCGCCAUUGCCGGCCGCCGCCCUCCUCUGCAACCUCCUCGUUCCAGCGCCCCUAGCCUCCCAUCUUCUCCGACCUCCACCGCCGCAUGCAGCCAUAAACGUGUGCGGCCGCCGCCCAGCUCCCCCUCCAACAUCCAGCACUGCCUUCCGCCACUCCCAAAUCUUCAGACAUCCACCACCGCCUGCUCCUAGAUUCAUCCGCGAGCGCAUCCCACUCUCAUCUACAGGGAUGAACACCGCUGUCGCCUCCCUACUCCCUUCUCUUAACCCCACCGCAGUCGCCAGACCCCACCUCCAUCCACGAACGCCACCCCACUCCAUUCUCCUCCCACCACCACCUCUGUUCACGGCCACAACUCUGCUCGAUUUUCCUACCUGAAAGCUGCUGCUCCCUUGAGCAACCUGAAAGCUAUUUCUUGCCCCGUCAGUAGAUCUUGACAGCUACCACGACUCCUCUUCCUUCUAUCAGCGGAUUCGUUCUUGUGAAAGGAAGGAAUUAUAUUGCGCAAUUGCAUUCAAGCGCAAGGCACAACCAAUAAGAGUGGCUGUAGUGGUGCAAUCAGCAGCGAGAAAACACAAAAAUGUCUUGAUCCAUACUGCAAUGGUCUUAAGCAAGCACAUCCAAAGGAUUAGCAAGACAUUGAUUUGGGAUCCAUACUGCAAUUGCCGCCUACCGAUUGCUACUGGUGCCGUCAAGAAAGCCAACAUUAUCUAUGCUGCAAGGCAACAAAUCUGAAGCCCUCAAGUUCUGUUGCUUACCGUAAUGUCAUCCAAGAGUAACAGUUGCGUCAUACAAAUGACAUUCUAACAAAGAAAACAGAAAUGCAUGACCAAAUGUUCAGGAUGCUUGUUGCUGAGAUGGGAAGAGACCUGCCAGAAUGGUUCCAGCAAGGUCCAGCAAGGUCAAAACCAAGUUCUUAGCCAGAGGAAGACAUGCUUGGAGGAUACUGCUAUGGACGACCUUGUUGGCCAUGGCAACAAGGGAGGUAGCAACGAUUGUGAGAACAUUGGUCGUGAUAGCUGCUUCCGGAGGAGGAUCUCAGUAGUGUACUUUCACUUCAACUACUUCUUCACAUUCUUGUGGUAUGUUAGAUCUUUUGUGGUGCUACAAUUUCUGUGACAAACUUAAUUAGGUUAAGUGAUGGAUGAGAAAUGGUGGAAGUUAUGUAUGUAUGUGAUGCUCCUGAUCGUAACCUGUAUGACUUUGAAGUUUAUGUAUUAUGUUGUUACAUUAAUUGCACUGUCAUGUGCAAUGUGUUGGAUGCAAACUAGAGUGGUGGUGGCAAUGUCUAUGUGCAACUGUUAUUACUUGCUUUUGGCAAGUCUGUGUACAUGUAAAUCACCAACUUUUAGUGUAUUGUUACAUUGU